rnacentral:misc_RNA from 1 species
CUGAAUUGACUUUGGGGAUGUUUGCUGGCCUCUCCUACAGAGGGGCAAUUGUGCACUCUCCAAAACAAAUUCAUGAUUUCCUUUACACCCCUUGUGCACAUCCCUGUAGGGUGACCACCCCUCUUUUCUUUGAGAAAGUUGGUGGGUUGUCCUAUGUGUUCUUAUUUAUUAUAUCAUCUGGCAUUUUGAAUGAAUGAAUAUAAAUAUAAAUAUAUAUAUAAA